rnacentral:rRNA from 1 species
CCAUCUGGAAGAAUCUGGAGACAGGUGCUGCAUGGCUGUCGUCAGCUCGUGUCGUGAGAUGUUGGGUUAAGUCCCGCAACGAGCGCAACCCUUGCCUUUAGUUGCCAGCAGUUCGGCUGGGCACUCUAAAGGGACUGCCGGUGUUAAACCGGAGGAAGGUGGGGAGUGACGUCAAGUCCUCAUGGCCUUUAUGACCAGGGCUACACACGUACUACAAUGGCCGAUACAAAGGGCAGCGACACUGCGAGGUGAAGCCAAUCCCGUAAAAUACGGUCUCAGUCCGGAUUGGAGUCUGCAACUCGACUCCAUGAAGUUGGAAUCGCUAGUAAUCGUGGAUCAGCAUGCCACGGUGAAUACGUUCCCGGGCCUU